rnacentral:rRNA from 1 species
AUUGAACGCUGGCGGCAUGCCUUACACAUGCAAGUCGAACGGCAGCGCGGGGCAACCUGGCGGCGAGUGGCGAACGGGUGAGUAACAUAUCGGAACAUACCCUAGAGUGGGGGAUAACGUAGCGAAAGUUACGCUAAUACCGCAUACGAUCUAAGGAUGAAAGUGGGGGAUCUUCGGACCUCAUGCUCAUGGAGUGGCCGAUAUCUGAUUAGCUAGUUGGUGAGGUAAAGGCUCACCAAGGCGACGAUCAGUAGCUGGUUUGAGAGAACGACCAGCCACACUGGAACUGAGACACGGUCCAGACUCCUACGGGAGGCAGCAGUGGGGAAUUUUGGACAAUGGGGGCAACCCUGAUCCAGCAAUGCCGCGUGAGUGAAGAAGGGCCUUCGGGUUGGUU